rnacentral:rRNA from 1 species
AUUGAACGCUGGCGGCAGGCCUAACACAUGCAAGUCGAGCGGAUGAAGGGAGCUUGCUCCUGGAUUCAGCGGCGGACGGGUGAGUAAUGCCUAGGAAUCUGCCUGGUAGUGGGGGAUAACGUCCGGACACGGGCGCUAAUACCGCAUACGUCCUGAGGGAGAAAGUGGGGGAUCUUCGGACCUCACGCUAUCUGAUGAGCCUAGGUCGGAUUAGCUAGUUGGUGGGGUAAAGGCCUACCAAGGCGACGAUCCGUAACUGAUCUGAGAGGAUGAUCAGUCACACUGGAACUGAGACACGGUCCAGACUCCUACGGGAGGCAGCAGUGGGGAAUAUUGGACAAUGGGCGAAAGCCUGAUCCAGCCAUGCCGCGUGUGUGAAGAAGGUCUUCGGAUUGUAAAGCACUUUAAGUUGGGAGGAAGAGCAGUAAGUUAAUACCUUGCUGUUUUGACGUUACCAACAGAAUAAGCACCGGCUAACUUCGUG